rnacentral:lncRNA from 1 species
CUUUUUGAGCCUCUAGAGCUCAAAGGAGAGAUGGGAAGGAUCCAGAAGCACAACGGCUGCAUGCUGUUUCUUUCUGCAGCAUCGUUAGGUCUGCGGUCUUUGGCUGGCAGGUGCCAAAGUUGUUGGAGGUGUGUGCCCAAGCUCGAGCCAAAAAAAUGGGAGUUUGUGCGACCAAGGGCGGUCUGUGAAUAAGGACUCAUGGAGUAUAUCUGCACGACGCCAAUGGCAUCCAGCCGAGGGGAGAGCCGAGCCAGCGCACCUCCUGUCCCUGGAUUUAACAGCAGGUAUGUUGGAGCACUGCUGGACUUUGCAGAACAGCGCAGGAACGCCAAGCGCACCACACAUAUGCCUGUGUGUGAACUCGCUGCUGAAAAGUUGUUAUCAGAGGGCAACCAGGAAGAGUGAAAAGUUGGAGGGAUCUCAGGAGCUCCUUGACAUUGAGCACCGUCAGAAGCAGAAAGGAGUUCAGCGCCUUGGAGCAGUGUGGUGGGGGCAAAUGAAGCAACCCCUGCAAAGAUGCGCAGCAGGUCAGCGGCUCAGCUGGGAAGACACCUACAUCCUCCAGGCUUUGUCUCGGCCAACAGCUCAGAUCCUCCGCAGGGUAACGGUGGUAGAGGCUAGCGUUGUAGACUAGCCAAAAAUGCACCUUUGCAGAAGGUGGAAUGAGCAUUUCCAGAUUCUCUGCCUUCCAUCUGAAUUUCUUUGCCCUCUCUUUGUAUAGUCGUGUUAUUUAGGUUUCCAGUGGCAUUGACGGUAUUCAAAAGCACACUGUGCUGGCUAUUUUUACUUCGAGUCAUCGUGCCAUUUUUCCCAGCGCCAGGCAGUGAAUCAGCGUCAUUGCCAGUUCCUUUAUUUCACUGUGGAUGGUCUUUCAGUAACGCGCUUAGUUGCUCGUGUCUCAAAACACCCUGCUCUAGACAAACGCGAUGCGUAGAGGCAGCUGCUGGCUAAGUGGCUGGGCAUCUGCCCUUUGCCGGGGUGGUAGUGACAGAACGCAAACCGCGAAGCGGUGAGGCGAUGUUCCCUGGCUGUCCCGCUGCUCUGCGACAUAUCGUUUCUUCUUCCCAGAGGCUUUCAGUUGCAGCCAAAGGAAUAUCUGCCUUGUGUCUUCGAAAUAAACCCUUGUUACUGCUCUAGCCCUGUGAAAUC